CCUGUGGUGACGCGGAAUCUGAAGGAAGCGAGCGGUAAACUACCGAUCUGAGGAACACGAACUUCAUAUAAGGCUAGGUAUCAUUGGAUGAGUUUGCUUGACAAAACAAAAUCCAAAACUAAUUAAACAGUGAGAACUAGGUAUCAAGCCAACGGCUGAAUAACGGGAGCC
rnacentral:ncRNA from 1 species